rnacentral:rRNA from 1 species
AGUGAACGCUGGCGGUAGGCCUAACACAUGCAAGUCGAACGGCAGCACAGUAAGAGCUUGCUCUUACGGGUGGGGAGUGGCGGACGGGUGCGGAAUACAUCGGAAUCUACUUUUUCGAGGGGGCUAACGUAGGGAAAAUUACGCUAAUACCGCAUACGACCUACGGGUGAAAGCAGGGGAUCUUCGGACCUUGCGCGAUUGAAUGAGCCGAUGUCGGAUUAGCUAGUUGGCGGGGUAAAGGCCCACCAAGGCGACGAUCCGUAGCUGGUCUGAGAGGAUGAUCAGCCACACUGGAACUGAGACACGGUCCAGACUCCUACGGGAGGCAGCAGUGGGGAAUAUUGGACAAUGGGCGCAAGCCUGAUCCAGCCAUGCCGCGUGGGUGAAGAAGGCCUUCGGGUUGUAAAGCCCUUUUGUUUGGAAAGAAAAGCAGCAGGUUAAUACCCCGCUGUUCUGACGUUACCCAAAGAAUAAGCACCGGCUAACUUCGUG